rnacentral:tRNA from 1 species
GGAUGUAGCUCAGUGGUAGAGCACAUGCUUAGCAUGACCAAGGUCCUGGGUUCAAGUUCUAGUACAUCCA